rnacentral:rRNA from 1 species
ACUCCUACGGGAGGCAGCAGCUAAGAAUAUUCCGCAAUGGAGGAAACUCUGACGGAGCGACGCCGCGUGGAUGAUGAAGGUCGGAAGAUUGUAAAAUCCUUUUAAGUAUGAUGAAUAACCUGAUCAGGAAAUGGGACAGGGAUGACCGUAAUACUUGAAUAAGCAACGGCUAAUUACGUGCCAGCAGCCGCGGUAAU